GACAUAUUAUGGACCUGCAGUAAGACACAGAGACAUGGAGGAGACAUAUUAUAGAUCUGCAGUAAGACACAGAGACAUGGAGGAGAGGAGACAUAAACAAAACUAACCUUGGUUUUGUUUGUUAUCUUGAGGACAGACAGAGAGAGAGAGGUGUAAAACAGAAAGGGUCUUGGGUAAAGGAGAGAAACACGUCUCCAUCACUUUCAUUUGGUGCAGUUGAGUUGGACUUAUCUGGACUGAGGGAGUUGAGUUGGACUUAUCUGGACUGAGGGAGUUGAGUUGGACUUAUCUGGACUGAGGGAGUUGAGUUGGACUUAUCUGACUGAGGGAGUUGAGUUGGACUUAUCUGGACUGAGGGAGUUGAGUUGGACUUAUCUGGACUGAGGUAGUUGAGUUGUACUUAUCUGGACUGAGGUAGUUGAGUUGUACUUAUCUGGACUGAGGUAGUUGAGUUGGACUUAUCUGGACUGAGGUAGUUGAGUUGGACUUAUCUGGACUGAGGGAGUUGAGUUGGACUUAUCUGGACUGAGGGAGUUGAGUUGGACUUAUCUGGACUGAGGUAGUUGAGUUGUACUUAUCUGGACUGAGGUAGUUGAGUUGGACUUAUCUGGACUGAGGGAGUUGAGUUGGACUUAUCUGGACUGAGGGAGUUGAGUUGGACUUAUCUGGACUGAGGGAGUUGAGUUGGACUUAUCUGGACUGAGGGAGUUGAGUUGGACUUAUCUGGACUGAGGAAGUUGAGUUGGACUUAUCUGGACUGAGGGAGUUGAGUUGGACUUAUCUGGACUGAGGGAGUUGAGUUGGACUUAUCUGGACUGAGGGAGUUGAGUUGGACUUAUCUGGACUGAGGAAGUUGAGUUGGACUUAUCUGGACUGAGGGAGUUGAGUUGGACUUAUCUGGACUGAGGGAGUUGAUUUGGACUUAUCUGGACUGAGGUAGUUGAGUUGUACUUAUCUGGACUGAGGUAGUUGAGUUGGACUUAUCUGGACUGAGGUAGUUGAGUUGGACUUAUCUGGACUGAGGAAGUUGGACUUAUCUGGACUGAGGAAGUUGAGUUGGACUUAUCUGGACUGAGGAAGUUGAGUUGGACUUAUCUGGACUGAGGAAGUUGAGUUGGACUUAUCUGGACUGAGGAAGUUGGACUUAUCUGGCCUGAGGAAGUUGGGACUUAUCUGGCCUGAGGAAGUUGGGACUUAUCUGGCCUGAGGAAGUUGGACUUAUCUGGCCUGAGGAAGUUGGGACUUAUCUGGCCUGAGGAAGUUGGGACUUAUCUGGCCUGAGGAAGUUGGACUUAUCUGGCCUGAGGAAGUUGGACUUAUCUGGCCUGAGGAAGUUGGACUUAUCUGGCCUGAAGAAGUUGAGUUGGACUUAUCUGGACUGAGGAAGUUGAGUUGGACUUAUCUGGACUGAGAAAGUUGAGUUGGACUUAUCUGGCCUGAGGAAGUUGGACUUAUCUGGCCUGAGGACGUUGAACUUAUCUGGCCUGAGGAAGUUGAGGGUGAUCAGAUGGAUAAAUGGUUGGACUGGAUAGCCUGGUUUCCCAUCUGGGAACAAGAAGGGUCUUAAAAGCAGGAAUAAUAACAGGAACAAUAACAGGAAUACUGGGAUAUGGGCUCUCGUUAUUCCGACAGCUGACAGAAUGUGAUUAGAUCCCAAAUGGCCCCCUGAUAUCCAUCCUGGUAGAGGAGUAUCCCAUUGAAAGGUAACUAACCACUCACUCAGCUCUGACAGUUGGACUCUUCCUUCAUUCAGUCCACUUGUUUUUGUUAGUUGACACAAUAGCGCGACCUCAUGUUGACACCAUGUCCACGUUGGACCAUAGAUAGGAUCAACAACAACAACAACAACAACAACGAGACAACCUGACGUCAGCCAUUCCACCUAUCAGCUUGGCCCUGACACGACUCCCUGCUCCUCCUGUGUGACAUGCCAAGGGUCACUGUGGAGACCUUGAACUACACCAAGAGAAGAUUUAUCUGGUCACCGGCAGACAGACAGACAGACAGUGCCUGUCAAGCAUUUCACUUGGGCUGUAAUGUGGUGAACUGAGAGAGAUGGAGAGAGAGACAGACUAUGAAGACAGAGAGAGACAGAGAGACUAUGAAGACAGAGAGAGAGACAGACAGACAGAGUGACAGAGAGACUAUGAAGACAGAGAGAGAGACAGACUAUGAAGACAGAGAGAGAGAGACAGACUAUGAAGACAGAGAGAGACAGAGAGACUAUGCAGACAGAGAGAGAGUGACAGACUAUGAAGACAGAGACAGACAGAGAGAGAGAGACAGUCUUCCAUAGAGAGCCUUAGCUACAGAGUGAGGGACAAUAUAACAGCCCCAGUCCGUCCUACCAGCCAUUUCCUGUUCUAUCCAGUUAACCAUUAUCUCUGACAAUCCUUCUACACACCAGAUAAUGGCUGGGUCCCCAAUGGUGCCAUUUGGGAUGCAAUCAAUGUGGGAAUCAUAUCUGACACCAGAUACCAUGUGAUGUAAACAAUAUCUGACACCAGAUACCAUGUGAUGUAAACAACAAUAUCUGACACCAGAUACUAAAUACUAUUUGAUGUAAACAACAAUAUCUGACACCAGAUACUAGAUACCAUGUGAUGUAAAAAACAAUAUCUGACACCAGAUACUAGAUAACAUGUGAUGUAAACAACAAUAUCUGACACCAGAUACCAUGUGAUGUAAACAACAAUAUCUGACACCAGAUACCAUGUGAUGUAAACAACAAUAUCUGAUUUCACACCAGAUACUAGAUACCAUGUAAACAACAAUAUCUGACACCAGAUACUAGAUAUCAUGUGAUGUAAACAACAUUAUCUGACACCAGAUACUAGAUACCAUGUGAUGCAAACAACAAUAUCUGACACCAGAUACUAGAUACCAUGUGAUGUAAACAACAAUAUCCGACACCAGAUACUAGAUACUAUGUGAUGUAAACAACAAUAUCUGACACCAGAUACUAGAUACUAUGUGAUGUAAACAACAAUAUCUGACACCAGAUACUAGAUACUAUGUGAUGUAAACAACAAUAUCUGACACCAGAUACCAUGUGACGUAAACAACGAUUUCUGACACCAGAUACCAUGUGACGUAAACAACAACAUCUGACACCAGAUACCACGUGACGUAAACAACAACAUCUGAUUCUAAACUGGCUCAUGUGUAAACGACAUACACAUUGUUGAACAAUGUCUUCUGACUCAAACGAUGGGAAGGAGUGUUUUGUUUGUUUGUUUGUUUGUUGUGUAAAUAUAUUUUUGGGGGGACAAUGUUCCAAGGUUGAUUUACUUUAACCUCCCUAAAAGGUGGCCUUUUGUGACGUUUUUUUUAAUACUAUAAUAAAAAAAUAAAUGUGAUGAUAUUUGUUUUCUGCGAAACAAAGUGUUUCUCCAUUAACGUUUUGUAUUAUAAUGAUAUAAUAUUCUGAUUUCACGUUGGUUUCAUCUCUAAACCGACCACUUCCAAGACCCCGCUAUUGAUCACAGAAUAAACUCAAGUCUGUUCUGAAGCAUUUUAUUGAGGUUCUUCUUUGUUCCGGCUUUAGGAAACCCAGCAUUGGCAAUUUAAAAAAAAUGAAAACAAAAAUAAAUA